rnacentral:misc_RNA from 1 species
GAUGAAGAACGUAGCAAAAUGCGAUAAGUAAUGUGAAUUGCAGAAUUCAGUGAAUCAUCGAAUCUUUGAACGCACAUUGCGCCCGCCAGCAUCCUGGCGGGCAUGCCUGUUCGAGCGUCAUUUCAACCAUCAAGCCCCAGGCUUGUGUUGGGGACCUGCGGCUGCCGCAGGCCCUGAAAACCAGUGGCGGGCUCGCUGUCACACCGGGCGUAGUAGAUUUUAUCUCGCUCAGGGCGUGCUGCGGGUUCCGGCCGUUAAAAAGCCUUUUUUACCCAAGGUUGACCUCGGAUCAGGUAGGAAGACCCGCUGAACUUAAGCAUAUCAAUAAGCGGAGGA